GAGGACAAGCCGUGGGAGGGCCCAUGGAAAGGGCUUACGAGCUCCUCCUCUUCAAUGGCAAGGCCAGAAGAGGAUAAAGACUUCGCUGAUUCCAGAACAGCCUCCUGGAGAGAACUCAGGCACCCAGAGGGCUCUACGCCACAGUACUAGAGCCAGCCCUGCCUCUUUGGCAGUGUGACUGUGUACACCCCUCAACCACCCAGCCUCAAUUUAUUUAUCCCUUAAAUGGGGGUAAUAGCAACUGCCCUUCCAGCCCUGCAGAACUGAAGCCACAUAUUGAAGAGCACAUGGAAAGAGCCGGACUGAAGUGCCGCAGCUGAGCCGGUCCUGAUGGCUGUGUUUGACACCUAGCUUGAUCCAUGCUCACCACUUUGGUGAGUGACAAGCCGUGGCCUCUCAGGACAUGGGCACACCUGAGACUCAGUCCUCGAUACUGCAACGGGCAAGCCUUUGUCAUGCUGCGACCAGAGCUCAGUCUGCAAAUGCGGCCCCCCAGGCUGUCUCAGGACGGGUGGCGGGCUCAGCCCUGCCUCCAUGAACCCCAGAGCCAGCCCGCAGGUGGAGGCUGGUCUAAGCUAGGUCCUGUUUCUGUACUAGACCUAUUAUACUCUACUCCCCAAACCAGCCCUUGAAAACAGCCCUCACACCUGCCCUCACUCGCCUCUUCGGUAUGCUCAUCACCUCCAAUCAGCCAGGUCUAUACCAAGCCUGUGCUUUGGUGGGGGCGGGUGGGCAACAGGGGCUGAGGUGGGGGGAAGGGAGAAGCAAAAUAAGAAAAACCAUGACCCCUGCUCUCUCUCAUGAGACUGAACACACAAAGGUCUCAGCAAACCCCAUACUGCAGCAUGCAUAGUGGUGGAGUGAACCCAAUAUCCAUUUUAAAAUGGAGCUCUUAGCCAGCUGCAGGGGCUCAUGCCUGCAAUCCCAGUGCCUUGGGAGGCUGAGGCGGGAGGAUUGCUUUAGGCCAGGAGUUCAAGACCAGCCUGGGCAACAUAGCAAGACCCCCAUCUCUACAGAAAAUGGGGAAAAAAAUUAGCCAGGUGUGGUGGUGUGCAUCUGUAGUCCCAGCUACUUGGGAGGCUGAGGCUGUAAGAUCCCUUGAUCUCAGGAGUUCUAGGCCUCAGUGAGCUAUGAUCGUGCCACUGCACACUGCAGCCUGCGUGACAGAGCAAGAACUUGUCUCUAAAAAAAAUUAGUAAAAAGGGGCUUUUCAGCCAGUACUAUAUACUUCGGCCCUACGUAUGGUUAGAGGGUGGCUCAGCAUCAUCCCCAAAGAGAGGUUUCUAGUGACAAGAGGCUUAAGGGUGGGCUGGGGGCCAUGAGGAUCACACUUUCAGCAGAAGUUCUGAGUCCCACUCCCAAGGCCCAAGGGGCACCCCUACCCCAGCCAACUUGCAGACUCGGUUCUAUCUUGGCCUUCCACACCACACACACGGCAGCACCGCCAGGGUGGCCGCAGAGAUAGCACUGCGAGUCAGGCUGCGCUGGCAGGAAAGAAAGGCGGUCUGGGGAUGUGUGCGCCCCUAGGAUUUCUUUAAAAAAGUAAAUACGUGUGUCCAAAGGGUAAUAUGGAUCUAGGAAGUAGCCUUCACUUUGAGCUCAGUCCCCAUUGAUUGAGGGUUAACAGCGUGACAUUAUUAGUUUAAUUUCACAGUCUAAUCAGUUUCCUGCUUUAUUGAUCAAAGGACUUGGAGCAAUUGUAAUUUUGGGAGGCUGAAAAGUGAAAUUCUGGGCUAAGGGAAUAAAGCCUGGAGGCUCUCUGGGCUCAGGGUCCAUGCAAGGGAGCGCGUGGCCUCGUCCUGUACAGCCCACCUUAUAAGGGCUGCAGGGUCCACAGGUGACAUCUCCAGUCACGUCUUCUUCCUCCCACUGUUGAACCACACGGAGAGUGCAGGAACUAGUGACUAACCAGCAUCGGAAAUGGAGACCAGCCUCGGAAACAGCCCCUCGCCCCACAACACCCAAUCCCACACCCACCUCCAGCCAUUCCGAGCCCCAAACCGGCCCAGGGCUUCAUUGUUAAACACCCUCCGUCAGCAGAGCCCCAUCUGUGCGAUGGAAUUUUUUUUUGUCACUUUUUCAAAUCAGAAUAGAAACAAUUUUUAGUCUAUAAUUACCAUUUCUUUUCUCAACAGACAAAUGUUUCCUUUUAAAUUGUAGGGCAGAAAAAGCAAAGAACAACAUUUUAAACCAAAAAGAAAGACUAAAAUUAAUUUCUUCUUUACAGAAAAAUAAAAUACAACAGCUCUUAGAAGCCAGGUUUUUCUUUUCCCAAAAGAGCAACAAAUGCAACAGUGUAUUCACAGCCGCCAUUAACUCCCAUUUUAGAGGCAGGUCCCAGAGGGGUGGUGGUGAUGGGGUCUGCAGUAGCCUGGGGGCCUUGCACCUUGAUCUCCUGGCAGAGCCUGGGCUGCUCCUGAUGUCUACGUUUGGUUGGGAUGAAUGGUCCAAAACCUUCAAUGCAGAAAGCUGACUCGGGGUUUAGGGCUCCAGGAAUCAAGAUCAAGGCCUGGGGACUACCAGUUGCUCCUAUGGAGGCUUGGGGUGUAAGCUAACCACCUGGCCCUCAGUUUCCUCACCUCUGAAAUGAGAGCACAACCCAUGUGGCGAGGUUGUUGGACAAUUUCGUGGGCUGCGUGUUUUGGAACUCGAGAACACUGAACCAAUCCUACUGCUUUCACCGUGCUGUCAAGACCAAGCCGACUCUUCGCUGAGAAAGGCUCUAGCUCUGUGCCCGGAGAUGAACAGCCUCUAAGUUCUGCUCACAGCCUCUAAGUUCUGCUCACAGCUUUCUAAGCAGGCAAGCCUCUCCACCCACCCCAGGAAAGGGCAGUCCUUCCCUGCUCUGGGCUCCACAGUCUCUGAGCAGGCAGAAGGGAUGCUGCAGACAGCAUGGCGGGGCUUUUGCUGGGCAACACCCACGAGGGCCCUGCAGACACAGUGUGGUAUACUAAUGCUGCCCAGCCCCCACCCUGGGGUGGCUGGGGGGCGUGAUUCUGAGGGAGGGGCAAGCACGUGCUGGCUCUAAAGGGGAGAAGAAGCAGGUCGCAUUUAAGGACUGGAAAGAGGUCCAGUGUAGCUGGGCAGGGCCUGCUCAGGUGAUGAAGCAGAGGCAGGAAACACACGUGUCCUCCGUGUGAGCCGUGUCUAGGGUCUGGGAGCCCAUGUUAAGGAGCCUGGUUUCAGAAUGGGCCAACAUGGCCACCGUCGCCCAGUUCUCCUGGUUGAGGCUCCAUCCCCACUCCCCAUCCUAGCUUCCUAGCAGGGAAGUGACACAACACAUGUCCACCAACGCAGGAUACCAGCCCCGUGUGGUCACUGCUCAGCCCACCAUGCUAACCCCGAGCACGAAACCCUGCGGGGGCUCCCUGUUACCCAGAGCUAUACUGGUAAAUGUUUAACACCCGGCUCUGCUGGUGGUGGUGGACAAAAAAAACCCACCCAGACCCUGAUGUGCAUGCAGCGUUCAUCAGUUUCUGUUGUAUAAAUAUUCCCACUGUGGCCGUUUCGAGCUACCAAGGUGCUGUCUCCUAAUGAGGAGCUGGGAAGAGACGUUAACAAUGGGCUCUUGGGAGCCACGGAGCCAACCCCAGCUCACCCCACGCUAGAGACUUGUGAGCUGGGUGUGGAGGGCAGGCCACAAAGGUGCUGCUCUGGACCCACGGCUGCUGCUGCUCUAUGACCAUGAGGAGGCCAGGUCACUCUGGUAGGCAGAGGGCAGAGCAGGCCACCAGCCCACUAGGCUCCUCUCUCUCCCCUCCAACCUUCAGUGGUUUUUCCCACCAUCUGCUGGAUCUCGUCCAGACACCUCACCUGGAAUUCAGGGCGUCUCAGGCUCUCUCCAGGCUCUCCUCCCCCGGCCCCUGCAGAGCCCUCUGCACCAGCCUCGUGCCUCCUCGGCGUUCCUUAGUCACGCAUGGGCUGUCCCGCUGCCAGGCCAAGAGCGCAGCAUUUGUGGUCCCUCUGCCUUCGAUGCCACCCCUCCCGCAUGCCCUGACCACAGCUCUGGUUUCCCCUCCCCUGUGACGCUUCCUCCGACCGCCCACGUUCCUCUGAACUGCAUGCGCUGGCAAUGAACACCACGACUGCACGUGGGCAUCCCCUGCCAGACUGCACACUCCAUGCAGCUUCCUCUAGAACAAAGGCUCCAGAAUCUUCUACUCAAUGACUUAACACUCCUCACGAUGGGAUCCCUAUUCCAGGUUUUUCCUAACCUGCUUUUCCCUUUCAGCCUUUACCUUCCUCUCAAGGAAGCAGAGGAGGGCAAACAUUAGGGCCCAACAUCCACGCUUCUGAGGACACAAUGGCUGCAGGUCCACGGAUGUCAGGGACGUGACUUGCCAUGGCCAGAUGAGGCCAGAAGGGUGGCUGGGUUGCAUCGGGAGGAAGCUUCGUGCCAGCUCCAGGCCACAGUAAGACAAUCACAUCAGGACAGGUGGGGCCUGGGGCAGCAACACAGGAUCCCUAGAAUGAGCCCGAAUAGGUGGAAAAAGGCAACUGGGCGUCCUGCGCACCUGAUAGCUUUCUAAAAAUAGCGGGUGGGCCCUGGCUCUGCUGGCUCGCCUCGGGUGGGGGGGGGGGGCAGGGGCUGGGGCUCACUCGGCCUCUGGGGAGCGAGGAAAGUCCCAGCAGGUUCCAUGCCUUACUCUUCCCAGGCAGGGCAAAACCAGGCCCCUCGCCGCCAAGCUCAGGACGGGGGUCUGGGCCUUGCUCCUGCAUCUCCUCCCCCUUAGCUCCAUCCCACUGCCUGGCCAGAAGGAACUGUCCCUUGGCUGCUGGUCACGCAGGAGAGAGAGGAAGGGAGACAGGGCAAGAGCAGAUGCCAGCAAGCUCCGGCCACCAUUUCUUCUUGGCCAUGGAAGCUGGGUACACAGACAUUCUCCUCAAACCAAGGCACUGACGGCAUUGAACAGAAAUGUCAUGGUCUGAAGCCACGUGGUGUAGCGGAAAACAAGAAAAGAAGAAAUAAAUUCUCUGGGCCAAACCCCAGAAGUGUCCUCUGCCCUCCCAGUCCCGCAGGCUCAGGGACAGGCAGUGGGCAAGGAGACAAAGAGAAAGUUCUUCUCUUCCAGGCGUGGGCCUGGCCUUAGCCUGUAUUCUCAGUCCUCAAGUCUUCUCUGGCUUUUUCCUCCCUCCUACGUGCCGAGACAGGAAUACUUAGCUCCCAGCACCUUGAAGUCAGGCAUUUGGCCUCCCCUCCCAGCAUCAGUGCCAUAGCUGCACCUGGAGUGCUCAGCUGAUUUGAGGAGAUCUUUUAAAAACAAAUCUCAUUCAUUAAAAGUAACAGUAUGUAUUCUUACGAGCCAGAAUGUCAGCACAUUUUAGAGAUCACUAAGUCAUCCAGCUGAGAACCAAAGUCUGAGAGAGUUUGGAUAAAAAAAAUUACAGGCAGCAAAAUUACUUUUAAGAUCCCCAUGAAAUAGAAAUGGCCUCCCUCCCCACAUGGAAAAUGCCUUCCAAUUCUUUUGCUGAGAGGCAGGAAGCCUGGGAGGCUUUUGUUUUCCUGUAAUGUUUUCAUACCAAAUGUGUUCUGCUCACCAUGAAGUCCUUCAGAAACUUUGACUUUUAAAUCCAGCUUUCUGGACUCUUGGGAGGGACACAUGCACAGCACUGGAAAGGGUGGCAAGGCCAGCAAAGGAACGGAACAGAUCGAAUCAGAGGUGUCCUCUCAACCACCUCGUCCCUCCACCCACCCCCUCUCUGAGUUGAAGGCCACAGAUGCCCGCAAGCAUGUUCCUCCUCACUUGGGCAGAGCAGAGAUCAUGUUGCUGAAAUGUGACACCCAGCCCACUGGCCUGCCAGCCGUGUGGCCACCCUGGCACCAGUGCACGCGCGAGCCGCCCACCCGUGAGCCAUGAACAUCCAUCACCGUGACUCACAGCUGCUGCCCUGCUUCUCCUGCCGACGCCUCCCGGGAGCCCGGGGCAGGACCUAAAGGUAUUUCCUGGCCUGCUACUUCCUGGGUCUUCCUGAGCCCCUCCGAGCCAAGGCCGGCCCAGCAGGCGCCUGUGCUUCUGUAGUCUCUUCUGCCCUGCCUGCCCGCUCUGGGUUUGGUGUAAUAGAAAGAGAUGUGGAUGAGGAGCCGGGCACUUGGGCCUGGGUGGCUCUGCCACUCCCUAGCACAGCACUGAGCAAGUCAUCCCCCGCUCCAGCAUCGGCUUCCUUUUCCGAGAAAUGGGAACACUUGCAUCUCCGCUACCUACGACACUGAGGUGUCAUGGGGAGAAAAAACCCUAGAUGGGGAAGGCCUUCGGAAGAGGAAGGCAUGCUGGUAAAAAAAACUCAUUCACAUGACAGAGCAACGCUGGUGGUGUUUAGGCAAGCUCCCGAAAGACGCAUGGAAUCUUCUCUUUACGAGGAUCUGGAUGUUGAUGGUGCUUACAGGUGUGUGGGUCCCUGCACCAGGAAGGCUAUGAUGGCAUGCACGGGAGUGAGCGCCACCAACAGCUGGGCACACCCGUGCAGGUCCACCCAGGCAGCGAUGUUGAGCCUGAGGAAAUGCGGCUGCCUUCAAACUUUGAUUAGAACCCCAGGGUCGGCUGCAGUCUAGCUUUGGUCACAGCUUUUCUGCAUUCUAUAAAAAGACUCUAAAGGCUCUGAGUGUGGAAGGUUCUCUGGCAUAAGUUCAGCAUUCUUCUCCCUUUCCCAAAUCUCACUCUGGGAAGGCUAUGCAGCUCUGGAAGAGAGACUUCUACCCCACCCUGUAGGUGUCAGGGGUUUUGGCAUUCAGAAGAGCUGGAUGCAGAAGGCAGGCUCAUGGUUCUUUUGAGGAGUCAGGCUGUUCAGGUUUGCACUCCUGGGAGCUUUGAUGGUGUCCCCUACAUGGCUGGAACCAGGAAAGGAAGAGCCGGUGGUUCCUGGAAGAGAGGCGAUGGCUGCUGAGCCACAUGGUCCCAUGAUGUAAUGCUCUGAUGUAAUGAGUUCCCUGCUGCUCCCCGUGGCUGUGGCUGCAGCCCCUUUAAAUGUCCUAGUGUGAUUUCAGCAGCCACAAAGAGGAAGGAAACAGCCUUGAGUACCCCACUUGGGCCAGAGUGGUCAAAAAGGGAGGAGCUAGGGUCCUUGUCCCUGGCAAGGCGGUGGAGUAACAACAAUUAAUAAAAGACCCUACAGGAGCAGUGGCUCUUGGGGGAUAAGGAUCAGGUUGAAAGGUCCUCGCCUGUGCAGAGAUUCUCUCCCCAGUGGCAAGCUAUAGGGCCUGGCUCUGUUACUAGGGAAGGUAUUAGUUCCAUGGCAGAGGUGCAUCGUGGCAAUGUGUCUCUAUCAAAUCUGUAGGUGAAGGGUCAGGCCAUAAGCCUUCCUGUGCCUUCAACUUCGCGAAGAUAAGCUGCUCUGUUGUCUAGCGGAUGACCUGUGAACAACGGCAAGCUGUCCAGCCUGUUGCAACAUGAACCAAAAUCAUGCCCAUCUGGAAUAUGUCUGGGCCCGCCCAUCAUUCCCAGGGAAGUUUGCCUGUUUUCUCAGCAUUUUCUUAAAAGAAGAUGAAAGGAUACCAAGGGUUCUCAAGCCCAGAGUGCUCCUGUUGCUGCAGAGUGGCUGGUAAUGAAGCCGUUCCCCAGGCCCCAGCAUGGUCCUCGUGGUCGGGCUCUGGGCUGCAUGAUCGGGGGAGGCUGACCUAAUUAGCCUGGCUGGGAGCUGCCUGGCAUUGGCAGUGAUAGACGGAACAUCCUCUUCAGAGACCCCCAACGCCCUUUGGUUGCUCCUGAACUGGGUCAGGUGUCCUCUGAACCCACCCUGUAGGGGAAGGGCUGGGAGGACACUUCUGAUGUAAACCCAGAGCACAUGCAAGUUCAAAUCCCCACCAUUCUCUGGCCUCUCUUCCACGUGACACUGGUAUGGGGGUGCCUUUUGAGCAUGUUCCUUCCAGUCACCAAAGUCAGUCUAGUAGGAGCUUCCAUCUGUUCUCUGGAACUUUCUGUAGGUGGCUCUCCAGGGGUACUUGGGAGGACUUCCCUCCUGGACAAGGAAGCCCUGGCAAGGGACCUGGGUGGGGGCUUUGAGAGGCUGUUGGGAUGCAGGGAUGGGGCAGCCAUGCCUGUGGCCACCCAGACAACCUAACCAGAGUCCACCUUAAGAGGCAGAGGGAUGAAGCCACAUGUGGACAAAAAGAUGGGCAGGAACAGAGGGGAGAAGCGGCACACCUGCAGCCAUGAUGCCCCUGCAGGAAGGGAAGGAGCGGUGCAGAGAGCUGGAGAGGCCUCUGAGCAAAGUGUCCAUCAGGGCCCCAGCCGGGGAGAGCCUCUGAGCACAUGCCUCGAGAGAACACCUCCACGGAGGUCGGGGAGGCAGCUGCUAGGGUCCAGGGGACAGCUUGCCAGGACAAGGCCUGUCUCCUCUGACACCCUGCAUCACAGGGCUCUCAGAUCUCCUCUCAGUGCCUGGGCCUCAGUUUCUCCACCUGCAAAGGCCCCUAGCAGCAGAAAGUGAGGGACCAUGGUGAACGACACUUAACCUCGAAGGGAGAGACACUGUCAAAUAUAGUGUAUAAAAAGCCAAACAUGAGAGAAGACAGAGCAUUCUGGUAGAGGGGAGGAGAGGAUUUAAGGGUUUUGUUCCCAGCGGGAAGGUGAGAGGCAAAAGGAUGCUCUGAAAUGACUGUCCCCCUCAUGGCAGCAGGUGGGCAGAUCAAAGCUGCUCAGUGCCUGCCCCGUGGAGGCUUCGGUUGGCUGCCUGGGAGGAGCUGGGUCACCAGGGCCAUCAGCUGAGCUUGGUGGUUUGAGGAGGAGAGGCCUGGGCACAUUCAACGGCCAGAAUGGCGGCCCACAGGCUGGGCACACAAGGCCCCUGAGCAGACUGAGGGGAGCUGCCACGGCUCCUGGCUUGUGCCCGGCACAUGCUGGCUCGAGGACAGCCAGCCCCAGAGGCCCAGAAUUACUGAGUCCAAUCCAAGCCCAGCCCCGGCACUAGAACCUUGCUCCAGCUUCUUUUUCUGGCCCAGUUAGUGCCUACCCCCUUCCAGUUCCAGCUGCAAACAGGAGCCAUGACUCCCUUUCAGGGAAGGCUGGGCCUCUUUCCCUGCCCCCUGUGCCCCCUCCCUCCAGCCUCCCUAACUGGAAACACUGGGACUUAACCAUGGAAACCCUAGGGAGGCCCCGGGGCUCCAGACAGCCGCCUUUGCUGCCCAGAGGUGAGGCCUUGCCUAAAGCUCCAGGCCUCUGACCCCAUGGGCAGUGGGGCACCCUGUAGACAUCCCUGCCUGUAGCUCUUCUUAGUGCCUAGAAGUGGCCCCCACUCCGACCCUGAAAACUCCGGAAUGCUAAGGCUGGUGGGCGAUCAGAGCUCUCACCCUCUGCUUGAACUUUUUCCAAAUAAAUUAACGUUCUAGAUCUCUGACAUUUGUCUCUUUAAGCACAAAUAUUAAUUUUUAAAAAUUCUAAUAAUUUUUUUUGCUUGAGCACACUUCUGGAACGUAUUAAAACUUAUCUGGCCCCUGAACACAGUAUACGAAGCAUAACCUUCUCUUCCCUUGAUGACCUGGGAUUGCUCUCAAGAAUACCCAUUACUGGCCUGAGCUGUCACUGCCUCCUCCCGAGCUCCCAGUAGGAUGUCCAGACACUGCCUCUGGUCAGCCCUGUCUUGGCCCUCAGGGACCUCUGGCUGGCUUGGAGAGUGCUUUUGUGUGGCGUUCCCAGCCCAGUGGGUUCAUCUGGGCUGGAACCAGAGGCUCCUAGUGGAGGAGGGAAGGAUGCAGGCACAGCAGAAGCAUUCUAUCAUUUGAAUGCCUGGGGUCUGCCUCCGCCUCUCUUUAAACAAAGACGGCAAUGUGUGCAGGACUGUGUGGACUAGAGGUCUGGCGUGCUGUGCUCUGAGACCUCCUGUCUGUGUUUCCUUCCUCCUUCGCUGGCAGCUGCUGCCGGUCAGGGUCACAGAACUCACUUGUCACCUGUGGCCCUAUUUUAUCCAUGGGGGCCUGGGAGGAGCUGGAACAUGGACGGGGGCAGCUCCUACCCAACAAAGGAAGGGCCUCCUGGCCAUGGUGCCUCUGUUCUGGAUGAGCGAGGCUGCAGCAGUCUCGGUGGGCUCGUGGUGUGUAGCGGCAGGGACCCUAUGAGGAGCCUGCGUGAACCAGGAGCCAUCCCUAGGACAACACUAACUUCUAUGGCCUCGUCUGUAUUUUCCAGUCUGAGUGUCUAAAAUCUGCUAAACAUUCCUAGUUUGAUUGGCAAUGAUCAUGGCAAACAUGUAAGUGGCCAAAGAUAACAAAGAGAAUUAUAGAGCCAUGGAAGGUCAGGCUACAAGUGACCUUAGUGACCUUUUAGUCCAGCCUCUCGCUCAGAUGGGGCAACCGAGACACAGGCAAGGGAAUGAUUUGUCAAAGGUCAGAGCAACAACAGAGGCAGAGCGAGGCCCAGGCCAGCCCGGAGCAGCCAUCCCCUGCCAGGUCUACUUCACAGGACAGCAGCCUCCACUCAGAUCUGCCUGCCCUUGCCGUAGCCCUGUGCAUUUUAAUUGCUUACUCCUUUUCUUAUCAUGCCCUGGGGUAAUUUUACAAAGGGCACAACUACGACAUUCAAACAAAACACAUCUAUUCUCAGGUUAUUUUUCCUGAUGUAAAUCCUUAUGAUUAAAGAGGAAAAUACAACUGUAGGUAAGACAGGCCAAAAAAAAGAAAAAGAAAAAAGAAAUAUUUCAAGCUUGGCCAUCCCCAACAGACCUGAGUCCUGCUAGAAUUUUAGUAACCAAGCCAGUGGAGCCAGCUAGAGAGGGCUGAAAAGGGAGAGACCUAGAAGGGGCUUGGACCACACUGCAGCCUGGCUUCUUCUAUCUGGAAGUGUCCGUGGUGCUUGGAGAGACAGAUGCAGGGUGCGGUUGGGAACCCCACAGGUCCCCCAUAAGAAUGUGGAGUGGCCACCAGCAUCAUGGGAAUAAGACACACACUGCAUCUAAAGAGAUCAGCAAAGUGGCCCAGUGGUGGUUUGAAUCCCUGCUGACCGCCUGCGCCUAGUGACAGGUGCUGGAAGGGCCAAACACGAGGGGGAUGAAUUGGUCAUAUAGGUAGAUUUGCAGGAGUUUUAUUUCAUGCGGGUCAGAGGAUGAAGGGGCACAGGGGCCAGAGCCGUCUCUGCCCUCUGCCAGGCCCUGUGCAAGUGUCCUCCCCCUUAGGGGCCAGAAAAUCUGGGGCCCCCCAAAAGGUGGGUGGUAGGUGUGGGGAGAGCUGCUGAAACACCCGACUCCCUCCCGGGAGAACCGCCCACUAGUGAGCCUCCGAGCUGCACGGCAGCGUCUCAGGAACACACUGUUCUCUUUGUUGGGGCAGAAAUAUGUUCGAUGCUGAUUAUGCAGACCGAUGAGUAGGCCUCUCUCUCGCUCUCUCUCCCUCUAAUCUGGAGUCCUCCUGCUCGGCGGGCACAAUUGCAUGCAAGCGAUCCCGGAAAAAGCACAGAAUGAAUUUUUUUGCCAUCCAUUGUUCUGGAGGCAUUGCGAAUGUCUGACAUUCCAGGUGUAGAGUUGUGUAGCUGACUAGACUUCAGAAAACCUCCCGGUCUGAGCCAGGAGCACUACAACCUGUGAAGAAUGUGCACCCGGCCUGGCUACACAGCAACAGCACCCGAUGGGCCCAGGAGCCAGCAGGAGACCUUUCUUGGAGGAAGGAGUCUUUUUUCUUUGGUUUGAAAAUGCAGGUGAUGUUUUAAAAUUAAAAUUAAAUUAAGAUGCAUGUUAAAAACAAA